rnacentral:rRNA from 1 species
UUUGGAAUUUUGGACAAUGGACGAAAGUCUGAUCCAGCGACGCCGCGUGCAAGAAGAAGGUCUUCGGAUCGUAAAGUGCUUUUGCAGGGGACGAAUUUUUGACUGUACCCUGAGACUAAGAGGUUGCUAACUCUGUGCCAGCAGCAGCGGUAAUACAGAGACCUCAAGCGUUAUCCGGAAUCAUUGGGCGUAAAGCGUACCGAUAGGUGGUUUAUAUAGUCUUGGGUAAAAGCCGGAAGCUCAACUUCCGCGUUUGCUUAAGAUACUUAUAGACUAGAGGGGCAAAGAGGUGAUUGGAACGAACGGUGUAGUAGUGAAAUGCGUUGAUAUCGUUCGGAACACCGAAAGCGAAGGCAGAUCGCUGGGUGCCACCUGACACUGCUAGGACGAAAGCGUGGGGAGCGAA